AUGCCCCGGCCGGAGGUGCUCGGCGUUACGGCAGCCGCCUCGCUGCAGGGAGCCGCGGCCGGGGAGCAAGGUGCUGCCGGGCAGCACGUCGCAGCCGAGCAGGCUAAAUUAAGGCGGCGGCUGCCGUGUAAUUACCCCAAACCGGCGUUUAAGGAGCGCGGGGCAGGGCUGGCACCCCGCUCCUGCGGAGGCCGUCCUGGGAGGCGGGAGCGUCGCGGCCGCGGCUCCCUGCCCCGCGGGGCCGGGGAUGCUGCUCCGGGGGAGCUCGCCCUCCGGCUUCCCCCGCGCCGGCCGCACGGGCGGGAGAGCACGGCCGCUCCGCACCGGCGGCUGCUGCUGCUGCUGCUCCUCGUGCCGCGGUCGCACCGGCUCUGCCCGUCGCGCAUCCCACUGGAGCACCGCGUCGCUCCCGCGCGUAGCACGACCGCCCAGCGCCCCCAAAUCCCGGCGAGUCCAGGCAAACGCUUGCCAGCACUCACCAGCACCGGGAGACACGGGUGGGAAAUAAACUCCCGGGAUCCCUUCCCGGCGGGUCCGUGGCUGCCGGCCGGGCCGGGGCCGCCCCACCACGGCGGAGUCGGCACUGCYGCCCCCGGCAGUUACUGCGCCAUGGAAAUAAAACUCGCCGGUUGCUUCCCUGCUGCCGAGUUGCAGCUCGCUUUCCGUAAUCYGCGCCCCAAAGCUUUCCUUCCCUUCCCUUUCCUUUCCUGCUGCGCCGCACGCCUUGGGGGUGGAAGCGUGCAAGGGCUCCCAAAACCCCUUUGCGCGCCGCCUCCCGCCGGCCGUCGCCCGGGCAGGCAGGGACCUGUUGGGAAACACACGGGCGCGCUGCGGUUUGGCCGGGCUCCUGCUCUGAUCCAGGAGCCCGAUCCAACGCCGGCGCGAUGGAAACCACCAAGAGGCAAGGGUUUUCUGCGGGAAAGGGGGAGCGGCGCUGCCAAAGCCGCCYGGAGCCUCUCCUUGCCACGGCACCCGCCGCCCCGGCGCCGAGAGCGCUGCGAACCCGGAGGGGCGGAAAAUCCCGGCUCGGCGUUCCCGCCGCGCCGGCUCCCUUCGUUCCCCUGCGACGCAGCCGCAGGCAGCGCGGCCCGGCCCUGGGCUGCCGAUGUCCCCUUGCCCCAAACCCGCUGCCGGGCAGCGACUCAGAGCAGCUCGCGGCACCGCGGCGCGCUCCGAGAGCGGGAAACGCUCCCGCGGGAGCCCCGGCACCAGUCCUGGCCUUGCCAGUCACUGCGCGGCUCCGCGCGAGUCACCUGCUCUGCGUCACGGCUCUUCUGCGCCGAAAACACCCGCCGGGGUUAUCGAGGAAAGAAAAGCUCCUUUGUAAGUGCUAAGCGGGUUUUUUUUUUUGUAAAUCGUUGA
rnacentral:lncRNA from 1 species